rnacentral:rRNA from 1 species
UACUAUGCUUAACCAUAAACAUUGUUAUUAUUAGACCUACCUUAAUACCCGCCCGAGUACUACAAGCGCUAGCUUCAAACCCAAAGGACUUGGCGGUGCUCCAAACCCAUCUAGAGGAGCCUGUUCUAUAACCGAUGAUCCGCGUUUAACCUCACCACUUCUUGCCCUAAACCGCCUAUAUACCGCCGUCGCCAGCUCACCCUAUGAAGGUUUAACAGUAAGCAAAAUGACCCUCCCUCAACACGUCAGGUCGAGGUGUAGCGAAUGAAGUGGGAAGAAAUGGGCUACAUUCUCUAUCAAGAGCACACGAAAAGAAGCAUGAAAACCCUCUCAAAGGUGGAUUUAGCAGUAAGUGAACUUUAGAACAUUACACUGAAACCGGCUCUGGAGCGCGCACACACCGCCCGUCACUCUCCUCGAAUAACUCCCUUAACCUUUAUAAAAACUUUUAUCAACAAGAGGAGGCAAGUCGUAA